rnacentral:rRNA from 1 species
CCCCCAGUAGUGGCGAACGAAGCGGGAACAGCUCAAGCCGGCAAUCUCCGACGCGCCCCGCGUCGGCGACGUGUGGCCUGGGGAAGCGAGUUGUCCCGGCGCACCCGGCGCCGCCCAAGUGGUCUGGAAGGGCCCGCCACGGAGGGUGACAGCCCCGUGCCAGGCGGCCGCCGCGCGCCCGCGACGCGCUAUCUCCGAGUCGGGUUGUUUGGGAAUGCAGCCCAAAGUCGGGUGGUAGACUCCAUCCAAAGCUAAAUACGGGCACGAGACCGAUAGCGAACAAGUACCGUGAGGGAAAGGUGAAAAGCACUUUGAAAAGAGAGUCAAACAGGACGUGAAACCGUCGACAGGGAAACGAAUCGGUACGGCGAUGCCCCGGCGAGACCCACGGCGAACUCCCCGCGGCUCCAAGGAGCGACGGGUCGAUGCGAUGCCCCCGGGCACGCCGACCGUACGCCUCCAGACCGCUCGCCCGUUCCUCUCGCCGGGGCAAGUCAGCGUCGGUGUGGUUCGGCCCGCGAAGUCAGGGAAGUCGGAGCGCGCCAAGCCGCGCGCCCGUCCCCGGCCCGUCUCGGCCGCCGAACCAGACCGCGGAGAUCGCGGCUCGCCGCCUAGGCACAUUGUCCAGGGUAGGUGACCCGAGGGCUCCGGUGCCGCCGCGGAGGACUGACCGGCAGUGCUUCGCGGCGUCCGCCGGCCACCGCGGUGCGAAACCAUGGAAGCGAGCCCAGCACGCUGGCACCCAGGCGUUCCGAUCCGACCCGUCUUGAAACACGGACCAAGGAGUCCGACCCGUGCGCGAGUCCUCGAGCGAUAGAAACUCCCGGGCGCAAUGAAAGUGAACGCAGGCGAGAGCGGCGUCGCCUACCGCCGCGCAUCGCCGACCGACCCGGUGCGCUAGCGGCCGGAUCGA